GAGUUUGAUCGUGGCUCAGAUUGAACGCUGGCGGCAUGCCUUACACAUGCAAGUCGAACGGCAGCACGGGAGCUUGCUCCUGGUGGCGAGUGGCGAACGGGUGAGUAAUGCAUCGGAACGUAUCCUGGAGUGGGGAUAACGUAGCGAAAGUUACGCUAAUACCGCAUAUUCUGUGAGCAGGAAAGCGGGGGACCUUCGGGCCUCGCGCUCUUGGAGCGGCCGAUGUCGGAUUAGCUAGUUGGUGAGGUGAAGGCUCACCAAGGCGACGAUCCGUAGCAGGUCUGAGAGGAUGAUCUGCCACACUGGAACUGAGACACGGUCCAGACUCCUACGGGAGGCAGCAGUGGGGAAUUUUGGACAAUGGGGCAACCCUGAUCCAGCCAUGCCGCGUGAGUGAAGAAGGCCUCGGUUGUAAG
rnacentral:rRNA from 1 species